rnacentral:misc_RNA from 1 species
GAUGAAGAACGUAGUGAAAUGCGAUAGGUAAUGUGAAUUGCAGAAUUCAGUGAAUCAUCGAAUCUUUGAACGCACAUUGCGCCCUUUGGUAUUCCUUAGGGCAUGCCUGUACGAGCGUCACUACACACCUUAUCACAAUAUUUGUGGUCUUGGCAGGAGUGAAUUGCUGGUCUAUGGAAGUAUUCCAGCAGUACACAAUGCUAAAAAAUAUGGGAAGGUUACCAGAUAUGAACAACAGACUUUGUAAAUGGUUGUAGGACCUAGAUCAGUCACAAAUCAUGUCUGGUCCCUUACCUUAAGGACCCCCAUCCUAGAUGAACUAUGGGUUGACCUCGGAUCAGGUAGGAAUACCCGCUGAACUUAAGCAUAUCAAUAAGCGGAGGA